UAAAACAUUGAAAUUUGGAAACGAUUAAAAUAAGGAUAUUUUUAUAUAAUUAUGUUUUGUGGAAAUGUUAAAUUAAUGAACUAACCUCACGUUCUAAUCUUGACGAAGCAAAUAAAUUUUGCGAAAGCUCGAUUGUAACAAAGAGUUUCUCUCAUCCUGCCCCUUACACUGACUGCAACCUCAA
rnacentral:lncRNA from 1 species